rnacentral:rRNA from 1 species
UUCCAGACUCCUACGGGAGGCAGCAGUGGGGGAUAUUGCACAAUGGGGGAAACCCUGAUGCAGCGACGCCGCGUGGGUGAAGAAGCGCCUCGGCGCGUAAAGCCCUGUCAGCAGGGAAGAAAAUGACGGUACCUGAAGAAGAAGCCCCGGCUAACUACGUGCCAGCAGCCGCGGUAAUACGUAGGGGGCAAGCGUUAUCCGGAUUUACUGGGUGUAAAGGGGGCGCAGACGGCGAUGCAAGCCAGGAGUGAAAGCCCGGGGCUCAACCCCGGGACUGCAUUGGGAACUGCCCCGCUCGAGUGCCGGAGGGGCAGGCGGAAUUCCCAGUGUAGCGGUGAAAUGCGUAGAUAUUAGGAGGAACACCAGUGGCGAAGGCGGCCUGCUGGACGGUGUACUGACGCUGAGGCUCGAAAGCGUGGGGAGCAAACAGGAUUAGAUACCCCGGUAUG